GUCGACGUGCGUGGCAUGUCAUUCGAGCGCAAAAGGUUAAUAAAUUGUGAACAUCUGGCACAACGAAACAUUGCAACAAAAACCUUGGUUGAAGCAAGAACACCAAACUGUGUCGUUUACAAUUUGCAGAGAAACAUCUUUGUGUGAAUACGAAACGGGGAAGAGUCAUGUUUACUGAUUAAAAGAGGAUGGCUUCCAUUACUAUUAUCGUGAUUUACGAAAGGAGCAACAACUUGAGUCGUAGACCCAUGAAAGGCGGUUAUAGGACUUUCGGUAUACAAUAUAAGGAUUGAUGAGAUAUAGGAAUGCCGUCAAACUAUCUGCGCUUUGGACGAAAUAGUUGCAUUCAACGGCGGAGGGCCCAGGUUCGAAUCCUGGCUAUGGUAUUUCUCCUUCGUUUUCUUCUGUAACAGAAGUUCUCACUUUGCCGUAUGGGUGGCCGAACAGGCUAAGGAGACGAAA